rnacentral:rRNA from 1 species
GCCUAAAGCGUCCGUAGCCUGUUCUAUAAGUUUCCGGUUAAAUCCAUUAGCUCAACUAAUGGGCCGCCGAAAAUACUGUGGAACUAGGGAGUGGGAGAGGUAGACGGUAUUCGGUAGGAAGGGGUAAAAUCCUUUGAUCUAUCGAGGACCACCUGUGGCGAAGGCGGUCUACCAGAACACGUUCGACGGUGAGGGAUGAAAGCUGGGGGAGCAAACCGGAUUAGAUACCCGGGUAGUCCCAGCUGUAAACGAUGCAGACUCGGUGAUGCGCUGGCUUGUGGCCAGUGCAGUGCCGCAGGGAAGCCGUUAAGUUUGCCGCCUGGGAAGUACGUACGCAAGUAUGAAACUUAAAGGAAUUGGCGGGGGAGCACCACAAGGGGUGAAGCCUGCGGUUCAAUUGGAGUCAACGCCAGAAAUCUUACCCGAGGAGACAGCAGAAUGAAGGUCAAGCUGGAGACUUUACCAGACAAGCUGAGAAGUGGUGCAUGGCCGUCGCCAGCUCGUGCCGUGAGAUGUCCUGUUAAGUCAGGUAACGAGCGAGAUCCCUGCCUCUAGUUGCCACCAUUACUCUCAGGAGUAGUGGGGCGAAUUAGCGGGACCGCCACAGUUAAUGUGGAGGAAGGAAGAGGCCACGGCAGGUCAGUAUGCCCCGAA